UAUGAAAAGUUGAAAACCACGAGAUUCGCCCUCCGCUCAGAAAAAAGGGGCGAAAAAAACUCUCCCAAAAUGGAGGUGCUCUCUCUCGUCCUCCUUCUCUAUCCAUCAUCGGUAACACCCAAAAAUCCAAAAUCACCUACCCAUGUAAUCGUCGGAUCUUCCACUCUCUAAUUUCCGAUGGCGUUUCCCUACUCAAGCCUCUCCCUCUUUCUCUACCCUCUCCCUCGCCCUCUCUGCCUUCUCUCCCGUCGACAACUACACAGCGGCUCCACCGUGGACUCCCCCUUCGAUGAUGGCCGCCGUUUCGUUUCGGACUCGUCCACUUCAGCUCGCUCAAUUUCACUCAGAAACAAAAACCCCAAUCCCAAUUCCCCCUAAAUUUACCAAACCGCUAAGGUUUUCCGGCGGCCGUCCUAGCAUGAUUUCCAGAUCCGCGACCAGGGGAUCCAUAUGGGAGCUGGUUGAAAUCGGAAGCAAGAGUUCAUGGCUGACCUUGAUGAUUAUGGACAGCCACAGAUUCAGGGGAGAUUUGCUGCAAUGGUCGUCUGUUGGCUUCUGGGAAAUGGGUGCCUUUUUCCUGGAACAGUGUGCUUACACUCCAAGAUUACUAUGUUGCCUUGUUCCCGGUGAUUUUGGGUUCGCAGCAUAGCGUACGUGGACAAUGCCAAAGCUCAACAUGAUUGAAACAGGGAAAUGAUCACUUGAAGGCUCAAAUAGAAAGUUUUUAAAGGGGAUUUCUGGAACUGAUGAGUUGGGAUGACUUUUCCCAUACUAGAAUACAAUCACCCCAGGCUUCAGUGAUUGCAUUUGUACUCGUGUGUAUCUUGAUUUUGCUAAUCUUGUUAUAGAUUAGUGUAGUCUCAAUUGUUGCUAUAAUCCUCUCUGUGACUUUUGUCCUGUUUUUCAGAGAGGUAAGUUUAUUUUCAUGAUUUGGCAUUGUGGUUCUAACCUUUAUAUGCGUUUGUGGAUGGGGCGAAUCAGAAUUUGAUUUGGAGUUUGCUUUUCCAGGUUAUUCCACAAGCAAUAUGCAUUAGAUAUGGAUUUGCUGUGGGCUCCAACUUUGUAUGGCUUGUCCGAAUUUUGAUGAUUAUUUGCUACCCAAUGGCUUAUUCAAUUGGAAAGAUAUUGAACUCUGUUCUGGAACAUAAUGAAGCAUUAUUUAGGCGAGCUCAGUUUAAAGCCCUCGUCUCCAUCCAAAGCAAAGAGAUUGCUUCAGAAGGACUCAAGCAGAGAGUAUUUGAGACAUCACUUGUUGAUCUUCAGGGAGAUGAGCGGCAUGCUUACAGAAAAAUGCGGUUGAGAUCGACUCAGAUUAUCCCAAGAUUGUUUUUGCUUGCUAUGGAUUUCUCUUUGCUUGAAAGCAAAUUUUAUAUGAUGUACAAUAAAUAGAUUAAUGAAGUUUAUUUUACCAACAAAAAUAUAGUAACAUGAAAUAUAUAAAUUGUGAA